GGAGAGGGAGCCUGAGAAAUGGCUACCACAUUCAAGGAAGGCAGCAGCCGCGGUAAUUCCAGCUCCAAUAGCGUAUAUUAAAGUUGCUGCAGUUAAAAAGCUCCUAGUUGGAUCUUGGGAGCGGGCGGGCAGUCCGCCAUGAGGCGAGCCACUGCCCGUCCCCGCCCCUUGCCUCUUGGCGCCCCCUCGAUGCUCUUAGCUGAGUGUUCCGCGCCGCCUGGAUACCGCAGCUAGGAAUAAUGGAAUAGGACCGCGGUUCUAUUUUGUUGGUUUAUGGAACUGAGGCCAUGAUUAAGAGGGACAGCUGGGGGCAUUUGUAUUGCACCGCUAGAGGUGAAAUUCUUGGACCGGCGCAGUUUGGACCAGAGUGAAAGCAUUUGCCAAGAAUGUUUUCAUUAAUCAAGAAUGAAAGUCGGAGGUUCGAAGACGAUCAGAUACCGUGGUAG
rnacentral:lncRNA from 10 species